rnacentral:rRNA from 1 species
UACAGAGGUCUCAAGCGUUGUUCGGAUUCAUUGGGCGUAAAGGGUGCGUAGGCGGCGCGGUAAGUCGGGUGUAAAAUCUCGGGAGCUUAACUCCGAAACUGCAUUCGAUACUGCCGUGCUUGAGGACUGGAGAGGAGACUGGAAUUUACGGUGUAGCGGUGAAAUGCGUAGAUAUCGUAAGGAAGACCAGUGGCGAAGGCGGGUCUCUGGACAGUUCCUGACGGCUGGAGGCACGAAGGUCAGGGGAGCAAACGGG